UAGUCCACGCUGUAAACGAUGAUCACUUGCUAUUGGCGAUAUACUGUCAGUGGCAUAGCGAAAGUGUUAAGUGAUCCACCUGGGGAGUACGAUCGCAAGGUUGAAACUCAAAGGAAUUGACGGGAGCCCGCACAAGCGGUGGAGCAUGUGGUUUAAUUCGAUGAUACGCGAGGAACCUUACCAGGGCUUAAAUGCAGAUUGACAGAUUUGGAAACAAGUCCUUCUUCGGACGGUUUGCAAGGUGCUGCAUGGUUGUCGUCAGCUCGUGCCGUGAGGUGUCAGGUUAAGUCCUAUAACGAGCGCAACCCCUAUCUUUAGUUGCCAGCGGUUCGGCCGGGGACUCUAAAGAAACUGCCAGCGUAAGCUGUGAGGAAGGUGGGGAUGACGUCAAAUCAUCACGGCCCUUACGCCCUGGGCCACACACGUGCUACAAUGGUGAGUACAAAGGGCAGCUACCUGGUGACAGGAUGCUAAUCUCAAAAACUCAUCUC
rnacentral:rRNA from 1 species